ACGUUUGAAGUAGCGUUUCAUAUUGUUUGACCAAUAGGAGGCCUGUGAGCAGAGAGACAGAGCCACGGGUCACUUCCGCCUGCAUGCCCUGGAGGAGGAGUUUGACUUCACCACUGAGGAGCAGCUGGAGAAGUCCAGUCGCUUUGGUCUCCUGCAGCUGCGGAGCUCUCAUGCUGUGGACGUCAGCCCCUCCAAACCCAUCCCUCUCCACGACAGAGACAUUACUGAAGCAAUGUUCGCUGAUUAUGGUGCAUUCCCAAGUCUGUCCCUUAUGGAUGAAGACCCUAUCACAAUGGGGAGAGCACGCUCUAUCCACUACAUCCAAAAGGCGCUGAAUUUGGCAAGAGAAAAACUGUUGAACAUCAAGAGGAAGUACAAGUUCUCUGAUAUAGUCACCGAGUACCACGAGGCAGAUACAGUGAUGGAGUUCAACUGGGACGUGUUCAGACUUAAGCAACCUCUCCAGCCUCAGCGCGUGAAGAGGAAGAUCAUUCCUACCUGCUCCCUCUCAGACGGGGACCUGAGGAUCCAUGUUGCCAUCAACAAUGCCCAGGGCCUGCCUGUUCGCCAGGAGGCUUUCCUCAAGGAGAUCCAGGCAAGAGGCUCCUGCUGUGGUCUGUCGAGCAGCAGCAGACACAACAUGAAAAGCAGCUCAGAAAAGGCUGUGCUACAGAUCCUUAGGGGGUGA
rnacentral:lncRNA from 1 species